rnacentral:rRNA from 1 species
AUUGAACGCUGGCGGCAGGCCUAACACAUGCAAGUCGAGCGAGCGGCGGCCGGGUGAGUAAUGUCUGGGAAACUGCCUGAUGGAGGGGGAUAACUACUGGAAACGGUAGCUAAUACCGCAUACCAUCAGAUGUGCCCAGAUGGGAGUAGCGAGUAGGUGGGGUAACGGCUCACCUAGGCGACGAUCCCUAGCUGGUCUGAGAGGAUAACAGGCCACACUGGAACUGUGUCACGAUCCAGACUCCUGCGGGAGGCAGCGUGGGGAGAUAUUGCACGAUGAGCGAAAGCCUGAUGCAGCCAUGCCGCGUGUGGGAAGAAGGGCGUCGGGUUGUAAAGCACUUUCAGCGGGUAGGCGUUACCCACAGAAGAAGCACCGGCUAACUCCGGGCCAGCAGCCGCGGUAAUUC